CCUACGGGAGACUGCAGUGAGGAAUAUUGGUCAAUGGACGAGAGUCUGAACCAGCCAAGUAGCGUGAAGGAUGACUGCCCUAUGGGUUGUAAACUUCUUUUAUAUGGGAAUAAAACGUUCCACGUGUGGGAUAUUGUAUGUACCAUAUGAAUAAGCAUCGGCUAACUCCGUGCCAGCAGCCGCGGUAAUACGGAGGAUGCGAGCGUUAUCCGGAUUUAUUGGGUUUAAAGGGAGCGUAGGUGGAUAGUUAAGUCAGUUGUGAAAGUUUGGGGCUCAACCCUAGAAUUGCAGUUGAAACUGGCAGUCUUGAGUACAGUAGAGGUAGGCGGAAUUCGUGGUGUAGCGGUGAAAUGCUUAGAUAUCACGAAGAACUCCGAUUGCGAAGGCAGUUCACUGGACUGCAACUGACGCUGAGGCUCGAAAGUGUGGGUAGCAAACAGGAUUAGAUACCCGAGUAGUC
rnacentral:rRNA from 1 species